GGUUAAGCUACUAAGCGUACCCGGGGGAGGCCUCGGAAGUCAGAGGCGAUGAAGGGCGUCCUAAUCUGCGAAAAGCGUCGGUAAGGUGAUAUGAACCGUUAUAACCGACGAUACCCGAAUGGGGAAACCCAGUGCAAUUCGUUGCACUAUUGCAUGGUGAAUACAUAGCCAUGCAAGGCGAACCAGGGGAACUGAAACAUCUAAGUACCCCGAGGAAAAGAAAUCAACCGAGAUUCCCCCAGUAGCGGCGAGCGAACGGGGAGGAGCCCAGAACCUGAAUCAGCGUAUGUGUUAGUGGAAGCGUCUGGAAAGUCGCACGGUACAGGGUGAUAGUCCCGUACACAAAAAUGCAUAUGUUGUGAGUUCGAUGAGUAGGGCGGGACACGUG
rnacentral:rRNA from 1 species